AUUUUAUUUAUUUAUUUGACAGAGCAGGAGAGCACAGGCAGGGCGGGUGGCAGAGGGCGAAGGAGAAGCAGGCCCCUUGCUGAGCAGGGAGCCUGAUGUGGUGCUUGAUUCCCGGGUCACUGAGAUCAUGACCUGAACCAAAGGCAGACGCUAAACUGACUGAGCCACCCAGGCGCCUCCCAUUCAGACUUCUUGAAAGAUCUCAUUCCAUUAAUUUUCCAUUGUGCUGUAUCUUCAGCCUGCCAAAUAUCUUAAAUCCUUCCCUCCCUUUCUGUUGCCAGUGCUCUGGUUCACCCAUUCCUGUCUCUUGCACAGACUAGUGCAGUAGACUGCCUACUGAUCUUGCUGGUUCCACACUCGGCCUCCUUUGAAUCCAUUCUCCAUGCUGCUGUCAGGGCGAACUGAGACGAAAAUCUGAUGUCACUUCCCUGCUGCCAUUAUUUGUGGGUUCCCUCAUUGCUUGGAGUUCGACCUUUAGGAGACCAUCCAAGCCCUUGCUUUUGCAGCCUUCCCUCCUGCGCAUCAUUCACAUACAGGCUGCCCUUUAGCCGCAGGGAAUUCUUACAAGCCCCCAAUAGAUUCUUAUCCAAAGAACUUCAAGUGCAUGAGCCUCAUCGUUGUGCCUUGCCAAAGGUACAAAGCAGAAGGAUUUCAUUUUUCUCCUCUUCACCCGUUGGUAAAGGGAGUGAUUCCCACCCUAAAGUUAUGGGAUGUCCGGAUGCUGAACAGAUGAGCUCGACACUAAUUUAUUACCCAUGUCUACUCGUGGCCCACACCAUGCAGGGCCACAAGGGGGUUUUACCUGGGAGCAGAAUGAAGAAGGGCUUUGGGGCGGGGGCAGACCUUGUAGUAACAAGAGAGUGACGGUGAGCCCUACUUCCUGCAGGAGGGCAUGACUGGCUUGCUGGAUAAUUGCACACGCUGUCAGGGAAAUGGACCUUACUCCUUGGGGAGAAACUGUGCCUGGUCCCUGGGAUAAAGAAGGUCGUUUGGCCAGGAGACCUGAUCUGUGGGAGCAGAGGGGGAAGGGAACUUUGGGUGAGACCGAGGCCAUUGGAGGCCCUCUGAUGUUCCCUGAUACUAAGACAACACUUCCUAUUGAAUCUUAAUCUCAGGCUUUCCAUCACAGUGGACUCUGAUAUCUAGACAUCAAUUUCAACCUGGGACUGAGACUUUUAAGGAGUAGGACAGGUGCUUCUCUAGGAAGUGAAAUUGUCACGUGAACAAGAGGGGGAGUUGGUCUUCAAAACCAAAAUGUAUCAACGGUCAUUGAUGGUCACUCAGUUGAUCCCAAGGGAAUCCUUAGGUAGCCAAGGGGUAGAAGGAAAGGCUGACGUCCUCCAGCACCAUGGAAUCUGGCAAUGGACUGUGGAUAGAAGCAGCCACCCCCACCUGCAGGUUGGAUAUGCAGACUUUGGCUUCAGCCUGUAGCAAGAAGGCCUUGGUAACUACAUUAAGCUGGUGGGGGUAUCAUGACCCGAGGCAGAGCAGACAGCGGGAUAUGAAGGCUCAGAGUCUGUAAGAGACUCCGUUUCCAGGAGAGCCCAGUGCAUGGUCAGCAAUUGCUGCUUUCAUGGUCUAUAACCCAGGGCCAAGGAGGGCCAUUUCUUGCAUUGGGAGUCCAUGGACGAUUCCAGUGACUCCAGGAAGCUGGAGAGGUAGUUGCUAAAGCCUUUUUACUUAGGGCACUAACGGGUGAUUUUUUUUUUUUUUUUUAAGAUUUUAUUUAUGUAUUUGAGAGACAGUUGGAGCUGGAGGAGGAGGUCAAAGGGAGUGGGAGAAGAAGCAGGCUCCCCACUGAACAGGGAGUUCCCUGCCAGGCUGGAUCUCAGGACCCUGAGAUCAUGACUUGAGCCAAAGGCCGACGCUUCACCAACUGAGCCAGCCAGUCGCCCCCUCACAGUUGUUUUGGACAGAUCCUAGAGCCUUUUGUUGAGGGGAGCCCCACCCAGCGUGGGCUCAGUGACAAGUAGCAGCCUAAAUGGGCUUAUGUAAAAUUUAUAAACAAGGAAUAUGUUGCCUCUAGAACCAAAAAAAAAAAAAAAAAAAUACUGACAGAAUUUGGACUUGUAUGUCCUUCCUUGUUUGUAAGGAUUUUAUUUGGUUACUUGAAAGAGCACGAGAGUGAGAGCACAAGGGGCUGGUAGGGGCAGAGGGAGAGGGAGAAGCAGGCUUCCCAGUGAGCAGGGAGCCUGAUGCGCGGCUUGUUCCCAGGACCCUGGGUUCAUGACCUGAGCCGAAGGCAGACGCUUAAUGGACUGAGCCACUCAGUCGCCCCUGCACCUGCAUGUCCUUAACAAGUGUGUCAAACAAAUGUCCUCACAGUAGGUAGUCGUAAAUGUGAUGUCAUACCUAUGUCCCUGGAGAAGGACGGGUGCAGUAAGAUCCUGCCCACAAAGAUGUCUGUGAUAGCAGAGAGGUUUGGGUGCCCUGUGCUUAACAAGGUAAAAUGUGUCCCCUUCAAAGUCAAGGCACAUUUGACCGAGAGGAUGUUGAAAUACGCAUGGAACAGAACAUAUUGGCCAAAUCUAUAUUAGCAAAAUAUUCCCCAUCCUUAAAUUUGUUGGGCUCCCUUGUGUUUUUUUUUAAAGAUUUUAUUUCUUUAUUUUAAAGAGAGAGACACCUAGUGCACGAGCCCAGUUGGGGCGGGGGGGGGCGGAGGGAAGGGCCGAGUGAGCGAUUCCCAAGCUGACUCCACCCUGAGCACGGAGCCUAACAUGGAGCUGGAUCCUAUGAACCUGAGACCAUGACUUGAGAAGAAAGCGUAGCCCACUGAGCCACCCAGGUGGCCCUAGGGGUCUCAGAGGUUUUCAGGGGACCAGGAUUUAUUUUAAUCAGGUAUGAUAAGUUAGGAAGAUAUAGAAGUAACUGUCACAAUGGAAGAAGUUUUGUAGAUUUAGAGGCCCCAAGAAAGGAGGUUCUGAGAGCCUUGCAGGGCCACCUGGGGAAGCACCAGGAUUGGUCAGGAGAAAGAGGGAGUGAAGGGAAAAUGUGGGCAAGACCCUUUAUUGUGGUUUCCAUGGGAAGGGACAGGUGAGGCAGGAUAAGCACGUUUAAGACUGGCUAGUUUGAGUAAUUUCAGGGGGCUCCAGGCCAGAGUGGUGUCUGCAGGAGUCUGUCCCGCCCUUGCGGUGAUCAGGGAGGCCAUAGUGGCCCAGAGCUGCUUAAGAUGAGGUGGUUGGCAGUAAGGGUUCUGUACCGGUUGGUUUGGAUGUGAAAGGUAUGCUCCCAGGCCAGUUGUGGACUUUUUCUAAGAAUUAACUAAGCCUGCCAGGGACAGUCCCUCCAAAGUCAGCAAGUCUGAGAUGUCAAAGCAUUAAAUACAGAAGCUAGAAAAUACGGUUAUUUUACUAGGUACAAGCAUAAUUGGAGCCCUGGUAUCGAAUCCAUGAAGGUUACCCAACUGGUACAUCUUAGCAGACAUUAACGUUAAUUCAGAACCUAUGUUUUAGAGGGCCAAAAGCCAGUUGACCUCAUUUUAUCUUUUGCCAUAUAAAUUAUCUUAGUAAAUUUGGAUUUCUUUUUUUUUUUUUUUUUUUUUUUUUUACGGUUUAUUCAUUCAUUUGAGAGAGAGACAGCAAGCAGGUGUGAAAGAGCAGGAACCAGGGGGAGCUGCAGGCAGAGGCAGAGGGAGAAGCCGACUGACUCCCCUCCAAGCAGGGAGCCUCUCAUGGGGCUCAAUCCCAGGUCCCCGGGAUCACGGCUGGAGCCGAAGUCGGACGCCUAAGCAUCCGAACCACCCAGGCGCCCCUGUGAAUUUUGGAUUUCCAGUUGGGUCAAAUUGUGAACCUAUGUCGAAUUAAUUUGGGGGGGUUCCUCUUCCUGUAUCCAGUUUUCUUUCUUCCAUUCCUCCUUUUCUUGGGUUUGUUUGGUCCUGGAUAUAUGCUUGGGUUAGGGAGUGUCUUUUUACCCUGUUCAUCUUUCUCCGUUUUUUCUUCCAGAGAGUCUCCAAUCAGCAUCAUUAGGGUUGGAGCCUCUGUCGUGGCAAUGGUCGUAUGGUUUCAGGUGUCCUGGCGUAAGUCAGGGUGUGAAUUGAUACCCUCACUGUGCCACAGGGGUGCCACGGAUGUUUCCCCCACGACCCUGAGGAUGGCGAUCUUGUGCCAAACAGGUUUAGGCAGUGGGGUGGUAAGUGAAAGAGCACAGGACCCACAGCGCAGACGUUGAUAAAGCCAAAGCAUCUUCUGCUACAGCCCUACCUUCUCUCAGUGUGGACGGCUUCCCCUCCCCCCUUUUCCCACUCUACCGAUUCCCUCAGGAGACUAUUUCAUUUCUAGCCCCAUAAAGUCAUGGGUUUUUGUUUCUGUCUCCAGCUAUUCAGACGUGGUGCACAUGUUCUGGGUGUUUAUGGGGAAAGGGAGCUGGGUGGGUCGGCCCCACAGAUGACUGUCCUCUUCCUGCGGGCAUGCCAGUCCAUCUCCCCAGUGUUGGAGUCCACAGCCAGGAAGGUCAUUUUGUCCAUGGCCAGAGUGGGAGCCUCAAGGCCCUGGAUCCAGAGAUGAGUCCCUGGACGCGCUGGGAAGCAACAACACUAAGAGAAAGCAAGUGUGUGGAGGAGGGGUUUUGCACUGGGAGAGAGGUGGAGCACCAAACGGCCGACCCUCCACUUUUGUGUUUCUCAUCAGCUCCUGGGCCCUGGGCUGCCAUGGAUGUGCGCCUCCAAACCCUGAGGGCUCCGGGGGACACACGGUAACGGGGAGAGGAGCGGCAGCUGGGGAGAUGGGCAAGGCCACUCGCGUUGCCUGACCCACAGUGACUCAGGAGGCAGCCAGGGAGCCAUUCUUACAUCUCCCUGGGGUCGUGGCCCCCUUCCUUUCCACCCACAACACAGAGGGUCAUCCCCAGGACGGUGCGUGGGGUGCGCUCUCCCCACCCGGAUCUGUCUGUCUGCCCCAAGCACUGGCCCAACACCCAGUCGGUGGAACUCAAGCACCCCAGUCAGCAGGUCGUGGGGUUGCCGACCUCAGCGGGGAGCCUUGGAGACCGAUACAGGCCAGAUGGAGGUCACACUGAUGGCACCUCCCUCCUAGGUACAGUCAAGUCGCAUCUGUACUCAACUUGUUGGCAAGGAUGGGACAUUGGUUUGGAAACGGAUGGCGACCUCCAUUGGAGCUAACAGAACACGAGCUAACACACAAGCUGGCCCGCAGUUGCCAGUUCCCUCCCAGAUCGUGAUUGUCCCCUCUGAAGCCAGUUAGGAAGCCAAGGAGCACGUCAAGCUGACCCCGUGUCCUCAGUUAAGGUGGGGCCACCCUGUUUGUGAUGUCACUUGCUUUUAUUCAGCUUCUCCUCAGUUCCCUGACGAGAGAGAGAUUCCUGCUCUAGGCUUGUAGGGAUCCCUUGACACCUGACAGAUGUGACUGGCAGCAGUUGACUAGUCACAUAUUCUCACAGUUCAAGGGAGGAGGAUACCACACACUGUGCAGGGCUGCACAGGAAUUGCACUUGGGAACAGAGGGAACAAGCAGGGGCUUGGAAGGCAAGACUUUGUCCUAACAAGAAGGUGGGGCAAGUCCUGGUUCCCUUGGGAGGGUAUGAGUGGCUUGCUUGAAGAAUUCAGUGGGCUUCUAGGGAACUGAACGCUGCUCCCCCAAAUCAACAGGCACUAUGUCUGGUCCCUGUGAUGAGAAGGGUUUUUGCUUAGGAGACCUUACGUGUGAGGGAGGAGGGAGAGGAGAACUUGCAUUAGGCUGUUUCCGUCCCUCCUUGAUUGUCCCUGGUGUGAAGACAGCCCUUAAUAUGGAAUCUUCAUUUCAGGCCUUAUGCCCCAAGAGGUUAUGAAAAUGUCAGCCUUCUUACAACUACUAAUGGCAUUUCACAGUGAAACAGUAUACAGAAGAAACAUGUAAAAGUUGUAUUGCUGUAUGCUAGCAACGAACAUGUGGGCUCCACUAUCAAACAUACGUUCACAAUUACUAGUAAAACUAUACUUAGGGAUCAAUCGAACAAAGCAUGUCCAGCACUCGCAUGCCCACAGCCGUUAGCACUGAUAGAGGAAAUCGGAGAUAUAAAUAAAUGCAGAGAUAUACCAUGUUUGUGAAUUGGAAGCCUAAGCAUAGUGAAGAUGUUCAUUCUGCCCAGAUUGAUAGAUCGAUUUAAUGCAAUUCCUGUCAAAACCCAGUCAGGGUUUGUUUUCUUUUGUAGAUUGAUAGACAAGAUGAUUCUAAAGUGUAUGUGGAUAGACAAAGGAAUGAAGAGUAGUUUCAGAAACAAUUUUGAAAAUAAUAAUAAAGUGGGAACAUGCAGUCUACCCAGUUUCAGAACUUCUGCGAUAGUUUUACUAAGGACGAUUGUGUGGUAUCUGCAGAAGGACAGACACAGAUCAAUAGAACAGAACAAAGAACCCAGAAAGAGUCCCCACAAAUACGCUCAACUGAGUUUUGAAAAGGGAGCCAAAGCACUUCAGUGGGGGGAAAGCUGGCCUUGCGACAGACUACAGCCAUUUCAAGCUUGUGAUGAACACACAGACGCCAGACUCAGAAAACAGCACCAGGAGCGAAGGAAGACGGGGCUUUGACGGCGGUCCCGCCAGGUGGUGACGGGAAAGGAGGGGUAGACGGUGCCCAGGGCUCUGUGGGCGGGGCCAGAGGAGGCACCCAAGGGGCGCGUCCGCGGGCCGAGCGGGCGGGAAGCUGUCCAAUCAGCGUCUGGGCAGAAGCGCCAAUGAGCGGGAAGGUUGUUGGGCGGUUGACGUGAGCGGCGGGUCUGAGCCCCGGCAGCUGAGCGCGGCGGAAGCGAGCCCUCCUUCCCUCUCCGAGGCUGGCUCGUCCCCCCAGCGCCCGGGGACCCGGUUUCGUUGUUCUCGGUGGGGACAGCACCCCGGAACCUCCACGGCCAUGGGCGCUCGUCCGAGGACGGCCUCUUUCAGCUCCUGUUCGUCCUCCUCGACAGACCCAGACGACGAGGGAGUGCGCGGCCCUUGCGAAGAUGCUUCUCCGUGCAGAGAACCAUCCGUUGAGACCUUCUGACGAGAUCAAGAAAGACAGAGGAACACAGCCUACACCUGGAGGGUCGGGAGCUUGGAAAGCAAUCUCAGAGCCGGUGAUGGCGAUCUCUUCAGAAACUCAGCCUCGCCAGUGCCCUUGGCGGCUCGAAGGUCAGUGUUGUGUGGCAACUCACAGAUCUCCUGAAAGGGAAGACUUGACCAACUCAUGUCACUCAUCCUUUCCCUUUUGUUCUGUCCCAAAAGUCUAAAAGGGCUUUUUCAUAAACAUGAAAUGAGAAUUGUAAGCAAUAAGAAAGACAUGGACUAACUGGCAGUGUUUCUUUUUUCUUUUUUCAGUCUUACAAUUGAUGGUGUCUUAGAAUGAAAUAUGGCCUAUGGUUAGUUUAGAAAAAUUAUAAAACAGAGAGAAAUGAAAACACAUACAGCCCAGAAAUCUCUGAGCUUUCACCUGUUUCUCUGCUGUUCUUCAACCUCCCUGUAUACCUUCUGCUACUGGAACAUUCCGAGGCGCUUCCUGCCCCCAUGCUGUUGUCCUUCAUCUGGCAUAAGCUCUGACUUCUCUGUGUCUCUGUCGCUGUGUCUUCCCGGGUUCCCCACUGUAUCCCCAGUGCCUGGCACUUAGCAGACACUCAACAAGUAUUGCUUGACUGGAUCAAGAGUGUUAAACUGAGGGCGAGCACAGAAGCUGCUCCUUGUCAUCCAGGAGAGGGCAGUAGGAAGGACAGGGAGGAGCUCCUAGAGGAAGGCGGCUUGGUCAGCUUUUCAGCAGGUAGAGCUGCUCAGCGGGGGAGCGAGUGCCUCCGUGGUGGGGCGUGCUCAGGCAGUAGCUCGGUGUUGUUGAAGGGUGCUUGCCCUGCAUGUCAGGGUCGACCAGGUCAUUUGGAAGGCCCCUUCCAACCAGACAUCCAUGUUUGCGGACUCUUCUCCCGGGUCUGUGGUUCUUUCUCGACUGCAGAUAGGGCUUUUACCACUGGAUGGCACCAGAUGAAGGCUGUGAGGACAGUGCUCAUCCAACCACCCACAGUGAGAACACAGUUUUUUCUCUUUUCAUUAUGGAAGUUUCGUUGAUCUGUACAAUGUUAUGUCAGUUUCAGGUGUGCAGCAUCGUGAUUCGACAAGUUUGCUCAUUACUCAGCACUCACCACGAUUAAGUAUAGUCACCAUCUGUCACGGUACAGUUGUUAUGACAAUAUUCUUGGACUAUAUUCCGGAUGUUGUACUUUUCAUCUUUGUGAGUUAUUUAUAUAAGUGGAAGCUUGUAACUCUGAAUUCCUUUGACCAAUUUCGCCCCCCCCCUUUCCGUCUGGCAACCAUCAGUUUGCUCUCGGUGUUUAAGGGUCUAUUUUUUUUGUUGGUGUAGAGAACAGAUUUUUCAUGGCACUUAUACCCCAAACACACA